rnacentral:tRNA from 1 species
AAAAGAUUAGCUCAGCUGAUUCAGAGCAUUCCGAUUUCAUCGGAAGUGGUCGGGGGUUCGAACCCCUCAUCGCCCACCA